AUGAAUCCCAUAUUCGAUAUACUGAAGAAUCUGAGUCAAAGAAAAAAGAAAGUGAAAAACCUUAAAAAUUUAGUUGCAGAAUUUGAAUCUCGCUUGAAGAAGGAAAUUAAUAAUGAUUCAGUUUCUCAAGACUUGAGAAAGGAAAUGAAACAGAAGUCAGAUGAACUGGAAAGAGUAAUGCUAGCACAAACACGACUGAUACAGCAAUUUAACCAGUCCCAGGAAGAGACACUUGAAGUUUCUCAGAUUCUGGAGAAAUAAAGCUGCAAGUGGAAAACAAAUUCACAUUAGAAUGAAGAUAAAUUGAUGGUCUAAUAAGGAGGCUAAUUAACGGGAGAAAAAUUGUAUUCUUUUUCAAGAAGCCAAAGAGUGGGUGGACUUUGCUUUUAAUUGUAUGAAGAAAGCUCUUGAGGGUAGAAGAAAAGCUACAGCCUCUGAAGGGCACAACAGGCCUUCCUGAGUGCAACAGCGAUUAUUGGAGCAACAAAAAUGGUGCAUGUCACCAAGAAGAGAAAAAAUGGAAAAUAAAACCAUACUGGAAAUGGAAAUGUGUGGAGGAGCCCCUCAAAUUUCUUACUGGGGAAAAGACACAUUAAAAAACAAGAGCAUCAAAAACAAAAAGUGAAAGAAAAGGAAAUGAGACGAGAAAGUUACUGUUAGAGAAUAGCACAUUAUCAUUACAGCCAAAUUAAGGCAGAGUGCAUACUUAGGGUGCCAGUUUUCCCUCACUUUAGCUGUAUGUGGCCACACUUUUAGGAGAUUUUCUGUGAUCCAGGGGAAAAAUAUGGGUAAAUCAAAAUGAAAGCCAAAACAAAACCCUCAUGUACAAACACCAAAGAAAAACCAGGGUUGAGGGUUUUACAUUUUGUUGUUUGUUUUACAACCAUAGGUGAGAGAAGGGGCUAGAAUUUUCAGUUCUACAGUUUUUGUAUCCUCAAAAAUAGCAAUAGUCUCAGUUAAACACAGAGAAUGAAUAGAUAUGCUUAGCUUUACUUAUUUUCUUUGCCAUGAAUAUGGUAACAAAUUCAAUUAAAAAGUAAAAUCUGUGAGGAUAGAGAAAAUGAGAGGAGUUGGCACUAGAUGAAAAAGAUGUUGACACAGUUUUGGAAAAUGGAGAGCA
rnacentral:lncRNA from 1 species